rnacentral:rRNA from 1 species
ACGCACGCUGGCGGCAGGCCUCACCCCUGCCAGUCGCGCGCGCAUUUCGGUGCUAGCGGCGGACGGGUGAGUAACGCGUGGGAACGUGCCCUUUUCUGCGGAAUAGUCCUGGGAAACUGGGGGUAAUACCGCAUACGCCCUUUUGGGGAAAGAUUUAUCGGAGAAGGAUCGGCCCGCGUUGGAUUAGGUAGUUGGUGGGGUAAUGGCCCACCAAGCCGACGAUCCAUAGCUGGUUUGAGAGGAUGAUCAGCCACACUGGGACUGAGACACGGCCCAGACUCCUACGGGAGGCAGCAGUGGGGAAUCUUAGACAAUGGGGGCAACCCUGAUCGAGCCAUGCCGCGUGAGUGAUGAAGGCCUUAGGGUUGUAAAGCUCUUUCAGCUGGGAAGAUAAUGACGGUACCAGCAGAAGAAGCCCCGGCUAACUCCGUG